rnacentral:rRNA from 1 species
UACGGAGGAUCCGAGCGUUAUCCGGAAUUAUUGGGUUUAAAGGGUGCGUAGGCGGCCCGAUAAGUCAGUGGUGAAAGACGGUGGCUCAACCAUCGCAGUGCCGUUGAUACUGUCGGGCUUGAAUGUAGAUGAGGUAGGCGGAAUGUGGCAAGUAGCGGUGAAAUGCAUUGAUAUGCCACAGGACACCGAUUGCGAAGGCAGCUUACCAAGGUAUGAUUGACGCUGAGGCACGAGAGCGUGGGGAUCGAAC